CAGGUCGGCCGGGCGAUCGCGGGACGCUUCUUCCAUUCAGGAGGGUGUCGCGAGGAAAGUCCGGGCUCCGCAGGGCAGGGUGGUGGGUAACGCCCACUCGGGGAAACCCGCAGGCCAGUGCCACAGAGAAGAGACCGCCGUCGCGGGCCACGUCAUCGACGCUGACCGUGACGGUAAGGGUGAAACGGCGGUGUAAGAGACCACCAGCUCCUCGGGUGACCGAGGAGGCUCGGUAAACCCCACCCGGAGCAAGGCCAGACAGGGCGCGUUCGAGGGCUGCCCGCCCGAGCGCCCGGGUAGGCCGCUUGAGGCCGCCGGCAACGGCGGUCCUAGAUGGAUGAUCGCCUCCCAUGCUGGGGCAACUCGGCAUGGUGACAGAACCCGGCUCACAGGCCGGCCUGUCCU
rnacentral:RNase_P_RNA from 1 species